rnacentral:lncRNA from 1 species
UGGGUGACACAACCAGGUGACACUGGGUGACAACCGGGUGACAUUGCUGGGUGACACCGCCGGGUGACGACGCUGGGUGACACAACCAGGUGACACCGCCAGGUGAUACUGGGUGACAACUGGGUGACAUUGCCAGGUGACACCGCCAGGUGACGACACUGGGUGACACAACCAGGUGACACAGGGUGACAACCGGGUGAUGUUGCGGGGUGACACCGCCGGGUGAUGACACUGGGUGACACAACCAGGUGACACCGCCAGGUGAUACUGGGUGACAACUGGGUGACAUUGCCGGGUGACACCGCCAGGUGACGACACUGGGUGACACAACCAGGUGACAGGGGGUGACAACCGGGUGACGUUGCGGGGUGACACCGCCGGGUGACGACGCUGGGUGACACAACCAGUGCGCCGCCCCCCCCGUCACCGGGCCGUGCCGCGCCGCGUUCCGGCGGUGGUACCACAGCCCCCAACACCGCGACUGCCGGCCCUUCACCUACGGCGGCUGUCGGGGGAACAGCAACAACUACCUCCGGAAGGAAGAGUGUCUGCAGCGCU